UUUAAAAUAAGUUGAAAUUUCGAGUUUAAAAUAAGUCGAAAUUUCGAGUUUAAAAAAGUCGAAAUUUCGAGUUUAAAGUGAAGAUUUAGACUUUUUGUAAGUCGAAAUUUCGAGUUUCAAAAAAGUCAAUAUUUCGACUUUUCAAAAAGUCGAAAUUUCACGAUUUUUGAAAGUCAAAAUUUCAAGUUUAUGUCAAAAUUUCGGGAUUUGAAAAGUCAAAAUUUCAAGUUAAAGUCAAAAUUUCGACUUUGAAAAAAAAGUUCACUGCCAAUUUUAUUUUUUCUAUGUCCCUAAUACGCUUCCGUAUAUUUCUUAUUUUAACUGUUAACACAGUCUAUACAUAUCUGUACUUCAUAUUUAAAUUUUUACCUGGGGAAUUAUAUUCAAAUGAAAAUACAUGAAUAUCCAACAUACAUGACAUAAUAAAGGCUAUCUGUUCCAAACAGUUGAAUAAAUAUUCAUAAAAAUAAUUAACCUGUUAAAUUCAAUCAAUGAAAGCCAUAUUGGAUCAGAUACCAGACACUUCUGCCAAAUAAGAUUAAAUAGUCAAAAACAAGACAUUUUCCAGCUUCAUGAAAAAGACUUGGCAGGCUUUAAUUUUUUUGCUAUAAUAUCUUCAGUUUUGUUUUUUCUCUUUGAAACAAUAUUAUUGUUUCCAAUUUUUCAUUUUUAAUGUCAUUGGUACAUAAUGGAAAAAAAAGUUUAUGAUUGAAACAAUAAUUUUCAAGGAGAACUAUAAUACCUCAAAUGAUUCUGAAAAUUGAUAAUACAAGUACAACAAGAAUGUGUCCAAAGUACACGGAUGCCCCACUCGCACUAUUAUUUUACAUGUUCAAUGGACCGUGAAAUUGGGUAAAAAAUCUAAUUUGGCAUUAAAUUAGAAAGAUCAC
rnacentral:lncRNA from 1 species